UACGAAGGGGGCUAGCGUUGCUCGGAAUGACUGGGCGUAAAGGGUGCGUAGGCGGGUCUUUAAGUCAGGGGUGAAAUCCUGGAGCUCAACUCCAGAACUGCCUUUGAUACUGAAGAUCUUGAGUCCGGGAGAGGUGAGUGGAACUGCGAGUGUAGAGGUGAAAUUCGUAGAUAUUCGCAAGAACACCAGUGGCGAAGGCGGCUCACUGGCCCGGUACUGACGCUGAGGCACGAAAGCGUGGGGAGCAAACAGG
rnacentral:rRNA from 1 species